GACGAACGCUGGCGGCGUGCUUAACACAUGCAAGUCGAACGGAAAGGCCCUGCUUUUGUGGGGUGCUCGAGUGGCGAACGGGUGAGUAACACGUGAGUAACCUGCCCUUGACUGUGGGAUAACUUCAGGAAACUGGGGCGAAUACCGGAUAGGAGCUCCUGCUGCAUGGUGUUGGUUGGAAAGUUUCGGCGGUGGGGGAUGGACUCGAGGCUUAUCAGCUUGUUGGUGGGGUAGUUGCUUACCAAGGCUUUGACGGAUAGCCGGCCUGAGAGGGUGACCGGCCACAUUGGGACUGAGAUACGGACCAGAAUCCUACGGGAGGCAGCAGUGGGGAAUAUUGCACAAUGGGCGGAAGCCUGAUGCAGCAACGCCGCGUGCGGGAUGACGGCCUUCGGGUUGUAAACCGCUUUCGCCUGUGACGAAGCGUGAGUGACGGUAAUGGGUAAAGAAGCACCGGCUAACUACGUG
rnacentral:rRNA from 1 species